rnacentral:lncRNA from 1 species
GACCAAUUACUAGAGCUCGUGCACAACAACUAAAUUAUCAGGUACUUUCGUUCCUCGGUACUUCAUUUAAUAUUAAUGAGAAUAUGCUGCUGCCUAAGAUGGGUUCUUUUAUGUGUUUUAGGAAUGAAUGACCUAGCUUGCACCUCAAGGAUCAGCGUUGGACAGCAAACCAUGGAGGUGGCAGCAAGGUGGCGGGAGCUAGCUCAAGUGAUGAUUUCAGAACAUUGAAACCGUCAUAACGAGAGAUGAGAAGAAGGCCGCAUCCUCUUCAUCAAUGGGAUUUCGGUCAAGUGGAGGAUUCCCCCUCCAAUGGGUAUCUAUGGGCCAAAGAUGAGGGUUAUAACCUUACUUUAUUGGGCCUAAGGCCAUGUAAUAGGGUCCAGCCAAUUUUUAGAUGUUUUCGUUGUGUUUUAGGAGGAUUCGUAGGCCGUUUCGGAGUCCCUCAAGGGCCUGUCCAAAAACCACCUAGUUCCCCUCCUAUUUAUACCCCAUGAGCGCCCCCAUGGAGCCUUGGGUUUUGAUUAGAUAAAGUUUAGCCUUUGCUACUUUCGUGUAAUCGCGUGUGUUGGUUAGACCACCUGUUUUACCGUCAUCAAGACUCCAACUAUAUUGAAUAUUUAGAUUCGUGAACCUUCAUAUCUCCUAUUCGCAAUUUCAGAUUGCUUUUCAUCUUGUUCUUGCUUGUUCUUCGAUUGCUUGCAGGAAGAAAGACCUUCGUGGUCAGGUUGAUCGUGCCCCCGCGGGAUCAAUAACCUUCUGGAGUUGGUGUAUCGAUCGCUAAGGCGCUGCCUCCUAGGUUGUAGUCGGAUCGUCAACGUCACCUCCUACCAAAUCGAUAAUUAGGUAUCUCAUCGAAAGAUCGGGACACCCUCGAGGCUAUCGCGUGGUAUCAGAGCUUAAGGUUGCUCGGUGAGAUUUUUCCAGUUUAUCCGUAGUUUAGAUCUGUUUUUACCUAUCGUCCAGAAAAAGCCAAAGAAAAAUUAGAAUUAGUUACCUUGUCCUAGAACCAAUCUGAGCCUUGCAAUUUUCACAUUAGUAUUUGCAUUGUUGAAUCUUUGCUGCAUUAAUCGUGUCGAGUUGCUCGAUUAGAUUGGAUCGUUUUUCAGAUUUUUUCUACUAGAUCGAACUUGUUUUUGUCUUUUGAUUUCGUGUGACGCAGGCUUUCCAUCAAACUUCCCGCCACACCACCGAGUCCCUCUUCGAAUCCUACACCGAGUCCCUCGUCGAGUCCUACACCGAGUCCCUCUUCGAAUCCUACACCGAGUCCCUCGUCGAGUCCUACACCGAGUCCCUCUUCGAGUCCUACAUCGAGUCAGCAAGUUAUAGUGUUUCAUAAUAGAUCGAAUUUUGUUUAGAGAUCAAGUUGUUCGGAAAGUUGUGAAAAAAAAAAGAAAGGAAAGAAAAAAAAAGAAAAGAAAGAAAAACAAAACGAAAAAAAAAAGGAAGAGUUCGAGUCAGUUUCGGACCCGAGUCCAAGUAGAAUUAGAGUUUCAGGUGGGUUUGACCCGUGUUCACUAAAACGGCCGUAUCUUUUGCAUACGAAGUCAGAUUUGGACGUUCCAGGACUUUUCGGAAAGCUCUCGACAAGGCGCAUCCUCUAAAAUUAACGGCUCCUUGACCCUCAAAUUCGGCUUCUAAGGUGGACUUUUCGUGCUCCGAAGUUUCUGCACCCGUUUUUCGGCACCGGGGCAGUGCAAUAUAUCUCAGUUUUCUCCACCGUCCGACCUCCGUUUCGAGUGAUCUUGCACUUGUUGGAAAGCUUGUUUUGAUACGCUUCUAACCCAUAUUUUCUCAUAUUUUUCUGAGUUUUCCUUACGACAGCCUUUGCUAUUCUCCUACAGACCGACGUGCAGCUUUCUGGUCUUAACUUCUUUUGCGUUAGUUUCUGGGGAUAAAAAAAACAGAAAAAAAAUAGAAAAAAAUAAGAAGCCAAACAGAAGGCCACAAAAAGAAAAAAAAAAGAGAAAAAAUACUCCCCAGAGAUUUACUUGGUUUACCUUUAAUUUGAUCUUUCCUUUCUACCUUUUUCAGUAUCUAGGCUUAGUUAAUUUCUGUAAUUCGUUCUUAUCGACUCCAGCAGCUAGGACUAGCAUUUUUGAGCAUAUUUUCAACUUUGCAUUGCUGAUUUGAUUAUUCGCUUUUCCUUGCUACUCACAUAAGCCUCCAAGCUCCACAGAUUCUACACCUAGGUUGGUUUGCCUCGAGGCAUCAAUACAUUAAUCUUCGGAGGGCUUGUUCUCGCCGCUGGCCAUCACCUUCCUGUUUGCUGGGUAAGAACGAGUAAGAACUUGAUUAAAAGUUGAGUGGAGUGAUUUUUGAAACCCCACAUCCUAGUAGUGCAUAGGGACUUUUCCUUGUGAUUUUUUUUCUUGUUUUCUCCUAACGAUGGCAGGUUCUGACGAUGAUUUACAAGGCCACUCUCCAGGCACAAAGGGCAUUAUUUCACAUUUUGAUCGCAAGCUUAGGCUUCGUAACGAGGAGCUGGAUGAGGACGUUCGGGUUGCGAAUGAGAGACUUGGAACCUUGGAGAGCGCGCACAUUGAAACAAAUACCAAGCUAACAUGUUUACAGAAUUCUGUUGCUACCAUUAGUACUUCUCUGGCAGAAAUCACGACGCAACUGGCGGCACUUGCUGCAACGACCAUUGCUACACCGGGAGGAAACAAUACACACAACCAGCGGACCGCUAAUAAUGGUACCUUCGCAAGCGAGGUUGAGGAGAACGACGACGACUACUCCGCGGAUACGGAACACGAUGGGGCCGUAAACCAUCACAACGUCCGUGAUCGUCGCCGAACUCGUUUCAACCGCCGAGGUAUGGGACCGACACGACCUCAAAGAGAGGAACAUGACUCGUUGCAUUCUAUUAAACUUAAGGUUCCUCCUUUUGAUGGAAAAUAUGACCCUGAUGCUUACCUUACAAGAAGGGGAGGAUGAUGAGGACAUCCCAAGUAAUGAUACAACCACAGCCCCUACAGCACCUACACCUCAAGUACCGGAGAUACAUGGACCAAUUACUAGAGCUCAUGCACGACAACUAAAUUAUCAGGUACUUUCGUUCCUCGGUACUUCAUUUAAUAUUCAUGAGAAUAUGCUGCUGCCUAAGAUGGGUUCUUUUAUGUGUUUUAGGAAUGAAGGACCUAGCUUGCACCUCAAGGAUCAGCGUUGGACAGCAAACCAUGGAGGUGGCAACAAGGUGGCGGGAGCUAGCUCAAGUGAUGAUUUCAAAACAUUGAAACCGCCAUAACGAGAGAUGAGAAGAAGGCCGCAUCCUCUUCAUCAAUGGGAUUUCGGCAAGUGGAGGAUUCCCCCUCCAAUGGGUAUCUAUGGGCCAAAGAUGAGGGUUAUAACCUUGCUUUAUUG